rnacentral:rRNA from 1 species
AAAAAAAAGGAGAGUUGCUUACUGCAAUCCUUUUCUUUCUACACAUGUGUUUUUCUUUUUUUUGAAAACUUUGCUUUGGUGGGCCCACGGCCUGCCAGAGAUUAAACUCAACCAAAUUUUUAUUUAAUUGUCAACUUGAUUAACUAAUAGUCAAAACUUUCAACAACGGAUCUCUUGGUUCUCGCAUCGAUGAAGAACGCAGCGAAAUGCGAUAAGUAAUAUGAAUUGCAGAUAUUCGUGAAUCAUCGAAUCUUUGAACGCACAUUGCGCCCUUUGGUAUUCCAAAGGGCAUGCCUGUUUGAGCGUCAUUUCUCCCUCAAACCUUCGGGUUUGGUGUUGAGCGAUACGCUGGGUUUGCUUGAAAGAAAGGCGGAGUAUAAACUAAUGGAUAGGUUUUUUUUUUCCACUCAUUGGUACAAACUCCAAACAUUCUUCCAAAUUCAACCUCAAAUCAGGUAGGACUACCCGCUGAACUUAAGCAUAUCAAAAGCCGGAGGAA